CCCAUAUUCAGUCUUCACUUUUCACAAACUCAUCUCUUUUCUCUUUCACUGGGAACCAUAGAAGCCACAACAAGCCACCAAUCGAGCAGCUAGUCAGCCACCGCAGCCCGCCACCACUACAUCCCGCAGCUACCGCAUUCCGCAGCGAUGAGUUUGAAGACCGCGUCCUUGUCAUCGCCGGACUCGCCUUUUUUGUGUUCGCCGGUGUCGCCUCCUCUGUCGUCGCCGUUGCUCACCUUCCUCCUUCGCCGUCGGUUCAAUUUUCUCAAUCUGCGACUUUCUCUCUCUGAGUCGAAGUUGAGCCUCUGUUCCAUCCUCUUUUCGUAGAGUUUCUUGGUGUGCGGUGACCUCUCAUUGCCGUCUCUGGUCGUGGAAGCAUCAUUGUACGACAGCAACGCUUUCCUCCCUUCUUUAUUUCCAUCUUUGACUAGUACUUCAGAUUUUUGCUCUGUUUUCUCUUGCUGUUUUGUUUAGCUUUAAUUAUAUAGUUUGUUUUACAUUAGUUUAGUUGGAUUUUUUAUUUCUGUUAGUGGAUUCUAGGUUGUUGGAAUAAGGUAGUUCAGUUUGUAGAUUCUAAGUUUGUUGCAAGUUUUGAGAAUUAGAAAUUUUUCGAUUGGCUGAUGCUUUGCUUGCUUAUAUAAGCUUAGUUACUUCUAGUUAUUAUUGUGUUUGGCUGUAUUAAGUGUGAAAGUUGUUGAAUGGGUAAGCAUUGUAGUUGAAGUUUGUUUGUUUAUACUGAAUUUGUACGUUGCGUGCUAGGUGUUCGAUUAAAUGCCUCUGGGAUGCUUUGAGUUUGAAUUAUAUGUUGUAGUUACCAUAUAA